rnacentral:rRNA from 1 species
UUGCGGUUAAAAAGCUCGUAGUUGGAUUUCUGUCGAGGACGGCCGGUCCGCACUUUGUGCGUGUAUCUGGUUCGGUCUUGGCAACCUCUUGGGGAACGUUUCUGUGCUUCGUUGCAUGGGGCGGGAUUCAAGACUUUUACUUUGAGGAAAUUAGAGUGUUCACGGCAAGCUAUCGCUUUGAAUACAUUAGCAUGGAAUAAUAAUAUAGGGCGUAAGUUCUAUUUUGUUGGUUUCUAGGACAUACGCAAUGAUUAAUAGGGACAAUUGGGGGCAUUCGUAUUAACGCGUCAGAGGUGGAAUUCUUAGAUUGCGUUACGACGAACUACUGCGAAAGCAUUUGCCAAGGAUGUUUUCAUUGAUCAAGAACGAAAGUAUGGGGAUCGAAGACGAUUAGAUACCGUCGUAGUCUAUACCAUAAACUAUGCCAAUUAGAGAUUGGAGGUCGUUCGUUUUAUGACUCCUUCAGCACCUUAUGAGAAAUCAAAAUUUUUGGGUUCCGGGGGGAGUAUGGUCGCAAGGCUGAAACUUAAAGGAAUUGACGGAAGGGCACCACCAGGAGUGGAGCCUGCGGCUUAAUUUGACUCAACACGGGAAAACUUACCAAGUCCAGACAUAGUAAGGAUUGACAGAUUGACAGCUCUU